rnacentral:misc_RNA from 1 species
GAAAUGCGAUAAGUAAUGUGAAUUGCAGAAUUCAGUGAAUCAUCGAAUCUUUGAACGCACCUUGCGCUCCUUGGUAUUCCUUGGAGCAUGCCUGUUUGAGUAUCAUGAAAUCUUCAAAGUAAAUCUUUUGUUAACUCAAUUGGUUUCUACUUUGGUAUUGGAGGUCUUUGCAGCUUCACACCUGCUCCUCUUUGUUCAUUAGCUGGAUCUCAGUGUUAUGCUUGGUUCCACUCGGCGUGAUAAGUUAUCUAUCGCUGAGGACACUGUAAAAGGUGGCCAAGGUAAAUGCAGAUGAACCGCUUCUAAUAGUCCAUUGACUUGGACAAUACUUUUAUGAUCUGAUCUCAAAUCAGGUAGGACUCCCCGCUGAACUUAGGC